ACUCCUACGGGAGGCAGCAGUGGGGAAUAUUGCACAAUGGGGGAAAGCCCUCGAUGCAGCCAUGCCGCGUGUGUGAAGAAGGCCUCGGGUUGUAAAGCACUUUCAGUAGGGAGGAAGGUAGUGUAGUUAACACCUGCACNAUUUUGACGUUACCUACAGAAGAAGCACCGGCUAACUCCGUGCCAGCAGCCGCGGUAAUACGGAGGGUGCGAGCGUUAAUCGGAAUUACUGGGCGUAAAAGCGCAUGCAGGCGGCCUGUUAAGUCAGAUGUGAAAGCCGGCUA
rnacentral:rRNA from 1 species